GAUGAACGCUAGCUACAGGCUUAACACAUGCAAGUCGAGGGGCAGCAUGGUCUUAGCUUGCUAAGGCCGAUGGCGACCGGCGCACGGGUGAGUAACACGUAUCCAACCUGCCGUCUACUCUUGGACAGCCUUCUGAAAGGAAGAUUAAUACAAGAUGGCAUCAUGAGUCCGCAUGUUCACAUGAUUAAAGGUAUUCCGGUAGACGAUGGGGAUGCGUUCCAUUAGAUAGUAGGCGGGGUAACGGCCCACCUAGUCUUCGAUGGAUAGGGGUUCUGAGAGGAAGGUCCCCCACAUUGGAACUGAGACACGGUCCAAACUCCUACGGGAGGCAGCAGUGAGGAAUAUUGGUCAAUGGGCGAGAGCCUGAACCAGCCAAGUAGCGUGAAGGAUGACUGCCCUAUGGGUUGUAAACUUCUUUUAUAAAGGAAUAAAGUCGGGUAUGGAUACCCGUUUGCAUGUACUUUAUGAAUAAGGAUCGGCUAACUCCGUGCCAGCAGCCGCGGCAAUACGGAGGAUCCGAGCGUUAUCCGGAUUUAUUGGGUUUAAAGGGAGCGUAGAUGGAUGUUUAAGUCAGUUGUGAAAGUUUGCGGCUCAACCGUAAAAUUGCAGUUGAUACUGGAUAUCUUGAGUGCAGUUGAGGCAGGCGGAAUUCGUGGUGUAGCGGUGAAAUGCUUAGAUAUCACGAAGAACUCCGAUUGCGAAGGCAGCCUGCUAAGCUGCAACUGACAUUGAGGCUCGAAAGUGUGGGUAUCAAACAGGAUUAGAUACCCUGGUAGUCCACACGGUAAACGAUGAAUACUCGCUGUUUGCGAUAUACUGCAAGCGGCCAAGCGAAAGCGUUAAGUAUUCCACCUGGGGAGUACGCCGGCAACGGUGAAACUCAAAGGAAUUGACGGGGGCCCGCACAAGCGGAGGAACAUGUGGUUUAAUUCGAUGAUACGCGAGGAACCUUACCCGGGCUUAAAUUGCAGAUGAAUUACGGUGAAAGCCGUAAGCCGCAAGGCAUCUGUGAAGGUGCUGCAUGGUUGUCGUCAGCUCGUGCCGUGAGGUGUCGGCUUAAGUGCCAUAACGAGCGCAACCCUUGUUGUCAGUUACUAACAGGUUCCGCUGAGGACUCUGACAAGACUGCCAUCGUAAGAUGUGAGGAAGGUGGGGAUGACGUCAAAUCAGCACGGCCCUUACGUCCGGGGCUACACACGUGUUACAAUGGGGGGGUACAGAGGGCCGCUACCACGCGAGUGGAUGCCAAUCCCCAAAACCUCUCUCAGUUCGGACUGGAGUCUGCAACCCGACUCCACGAAGCUGGAUUCGCUAGUAAUCGCGCAUCAGCCACGGCGCGGUGAAUACGUUCCCGGGCCU
rnacentral:rRNA from 1 species